UGCCAUCAUUGGUUGUUCCUACUCCUUG
rnacentral:sRNA from 1 species